CAUAGGUUAAUGAGGCGAACCGGGGGAACUGAAACAUCUAAGUACCCCGAGGAAAAGAAAUCAACCGAGAUUCCCCCAGUAGCGGCGAGCGAACGGGGAGGAGCCCAGAGCCUGAAUCAGUGUGUGUGUUAGUGGAAGCGUCUGGAAAGGCGCGCGAUACAGGGUGACAGCCCCGUACACAAAAAUGCACAUGCUGUGAGCUCGAUGAGUAGGGCGGGACACGUGGUAUCCUGUCUGAAUAUGGGGGGACCAUCCUCCAAGGCUAAAUACUCCUGACUGACCGAUAGUGAACCAGUACCGUGAGGGAAAGGCGAAAAGAACCCCGGCGAGGGGAGUGAAAAAGAACCUGAAACCGUGUACGUACAAGCAGUGGGAGCCUCUUAAUGGGGUGACUGCGUACCUUUUGUAUAAUGGGUCAGCGACUUAUAUUCUGUAGCAAGGUUAACCGAAUAGGGGAGCCGAAGGGAAACCGAGUCUUAACUGGGCGUUAAGUUGCAGGGUAUAGACCCGAAACCCGGUGAUCUAGCCAUGGGCAGGUUGAAGGUUGGGUAACACUAACUGGAGGACCGAACCGACUAAUGUUGAAAAAUUAGCGGAUGACUUGUGGCUGGGGGUGAAAGGCCAAUCAAACCGGGAGAUAGCUGGUUCUCCCCGAAAGCUAUUUAGGUAGCGCCUCGUGAAUUCAUCUCCGGGGGUAGAGCACUGUUUCGGCAAGGGGGUCAUCCCGACUUACCAACCCGAUGCAAACUGCGAAUACCGGAGAAUGUUAUCACGGGAGACACACGGCGGGUGCUAACGUCCGUCGUGAAGAGGGAAACAACCCAGACCGCCAGCUAAGGUCCCAAAGUCAUGGUUAAGUGGGAAACGAUGUGGGAAGGCCCAGACAGCCAGGAUGUUGGCUUAGAAGCAGCCAUCAUUUAAAGAAAGCGUAAUAGCUCACUGGUCGAGUCGGCCUGCGCGGAAGAUGUAACGGGGCUAAACCAUGCACCGAAGCUGCGGCAGCGACACUAUGUGUUGUUGGGUAGGGGAGCGUUCUGUAAGCCUGUGAAGGUGGCCUGUGAGGGUUGCUGGAGGUAUCAGAAGUGCGAAUGCUGACAUAAGUAACGAUAAAGCGGGUGAAAAGCCCGCUCGCCGGAAGACCAAGGGUUCCUGUCCAACGUUAAUCGGGGCAGGGUGAGUCGACCCCUAAGGCGAGGCCGAAAGGCGUAGUCGAUGGGAAACAGGUUAAUAUUCCUGUACUUGGUGUUACUGCGAAGGGGGGACGGAGAAGGCUAUGUUGGCCGGGCGACGGUUGUCCCGGUUUAAGCGUGUAGGCUGGUUUUCCAGGCAAAUCCGGAAAACCAAGGCUGAGGCGUGAUGACGAGGCACUACGGUGCUGAAGUGACAAAUGCCCUGCUUCCAGGAAAAGCCUCUAAGCAUCAGGUAACAUCAAAUCGUACCCCAAACCGACACAGGUGGUCAGGUAGAGAAUACCAAGGCGCUUGAGAGAACUCGGGUGAAGGAACUAGGCAAAAUGGUGCCGUAACUUCGGGAGAAGGCACGCUGAUAUGUAGGUGAAGCGACUUGCUCGUGGAGCUGAAAUCAGUCGAAGAUACCAGCUGGCUGCAACUGUUUAUUAAAAACACAGCACUGUGCAAACACGAAAGUGGACGUAUACGGUGUGACGCCUGCCCGGUGCCGGAAGGUUAAUUGAUGGGGUUAGCGGUAACGCGAAGCUCUUGAUCGAAGCCCCGGUAAACGGCGGCCGUAACUAUAACGGUCCUAAGGUAGCGAAAUUCCUUGUCGGGUAAGUUCCGACCUGCACGAAUGGCGUAAUGAUGGCCAGGCUGUCUCCACCCGAGACUCAGUGAAAUUGAACUCGCUGUGAAGAUGCAGUGUACCCGCGGCAAGACGGAAAGACCCCGUGAACCUUUACUAUAGCUUGACACUGAACAUUGAGCCUUGAUGUGUAGGAUAGGUGGGAGGCUUUGAAGUGUGGACGCCAGUCUGCAUGGAGCCGACCUUGAAAUACCACCCUUUAAUGUUUGAUGUUCUAACGUUGGCCCCUAAUCGGGGUUGCGGACAGUGUCUGGUGGGUAGUUUGACUGGGGCGGUCUCCUCCUAAAGAGUAACGGAGGAGCACGAAGGUUGGCUAAUCCUGGUCGGACAUCAGGAGGUUAGUGCAAUGGCAUAAGCCAGCUUGACUGCGAGCGUGACGGCGCGAGCAGGUGCGAAAGCAGGUCAUAGUGAUCCGGUGGUUCUGAAUGGAAGGGCCAUCGCUCAACGGAUAAAAGGUACUCCGGGGAUAACAGGCUGAUACCGCCCAAGAGUUCAUAUCGACGGCGGUGUUUGGCACCUCGAUGUCGGCUCAUCACAUCCUGGGGCUGAAGUAGGUCCCAAGGGUAUGGCUGUUCGCCAUUUAAAGUGGUACGCGAGCUGGGUUUAGAACGUCGUGAGACAGUUCGGUCCCUAUCUGCCGUGGGCGCUGGAGAACUGAGGGGGGCUGCUCCUAGUACGAGAGGACCGGAGUGGACGUAUCACUGGUGUUCGGGUUGUCAUGCCAAUGGCACUGCCCGGUAGCUAAAUGCGGAAGAGAUAAGUGCUGAAAGCAUCUAAGCACGAAACUUGCCCCGAGAUGAGUUCUCCCUGAGACUUAGAGUCUCCUGAAGGAACGUUGAAGACGACGACGUUGAUAGGCCGGGUGUGUAAGCGCAGCGAUGCGUUGAGCUAACCGGUACUAAUGAACCGUGAGGCUUAACCUUACAACGCCGAAG
rnacentral:rRNA from 1 species